GACGAACGCUGGCGGCGUGCUUAACACAUGCAAGUCGAACGAAGUGGCGAACGGGUGAGUAAUACGUGAGUAACCUGCCCUCCUUUUUGGGAUAAGCCUUGGAAACGGGGUCUAAUACCGAAUAAAGGGGGAUGGGCUCGCGGCCUAUCAGCUUGGUGGGGGGGUGAUGGCCUACCAAGGCGGUGACGGGUAGCCGGACUGAGAGGGUGACCGGGCAAAUUGGGACCGAGAUACGGCCCAAAGUCCUACGGGAGGCGGCAGUGGGGGAUAUUGCACAAUGGGCGAAUGCCUGAUGCAGCGACGCGGCGUGGGGGAUGACGGCUUGCGGGUUGUAAACCUCUUUCGCGAUCGAGCGGGUAGGUGGAGAAGAAGCGCCGGCUAACUACGUGCCAGCAGCCGCGGUAAUAC
rnacentral:rRNA from 1 species